GAUGAAGAACGUAGCGAAAUGCGAUAAGUAGUGUGAAUUGCAGAAUCCCGUGAACCAUCGAGUCUUUGAACGCAAGUUGCGCCCGAAGCCAUUAGGCCGAGGGCACGCCUGCCUGGGCGUCACACGUCGUUGCCCCCCCAUCUACUCCUUCGGGAUUGCGGGGGGCGGAUGAUGGCCUCUCGUGCGCCUCGUCGCGCGGUUGGCCUAAAUGCCAAGUCCUCGGCGACGCACGCCACGACAAUCGGUGGUUGCGAAACCUCGGUUGCCUGUCGUGUGCGGUCGUCGCGCAUCGAGGGCUCGAAAAAAUUGCCGGGCUUCGGCUCGACUUUCAACGCGACCCCAGGUCAGGCGGGGUUACCCGCUGAAUUUAAGCAUAUCAAUAAGCGGAGGA
rnacentral:misc_RNA from 1 species